rnacentral:rRNA from 1 species
CCUACGGGGGGCUGCAGUAAGGAAUAUUGGUCAAUGGACGCAAGUCUGAACCAGCCAUGCCGCGUGGAGGAUGAAGGUCCUCUGGAUUGUAAACUUCUUUUAUUUGGGAAGAAACUCCCGAUUUCCAUCGGUAUUGACGGUACCAGUUGAAUAAGCACCGGCUAACUACGUGCCAGCAGCCGCGGUAAUACGGAGUGUGCCGGCGUUACUCGGAUUCACUGGGUUGUAGGUGUGCAGGUAAGUCAGUGGUGAAAUCUCCGGGCUUAACCCGGAAACUGCCAUUGAUACUAUUUGUCUUGAAUACUCUGGAGGUGAGCGGAAUAUGUCAUGUAGCGGUGAAAUGCUUAGAUAUGACAUAGAACACCCAUUGCGAAGGCAGCUCACUACGGAAAUAUUGACGCUGAGGCACGAAAGCGUGGGGAUCAAACAGGAUUAGAUACCCUUGUAGUC